UUUAAAUUCAAAAAAUUAAGAACCCAAACAGUAACUAAGCCUUUUAUUUUUCUAGUUCCUUCGUUAUUGUAAGAAGCACCAAACGUAAGAGAGAGAAAGCGAUAGAAAGGAAAGCGAGAAAAAGCGAAAGUGAGAACACGGACAGAGGGGGUUUCAGGGUUGGGGUUCCUCUGCCCAUCGGCAGAGGAAUAUUGACCCUGGCCAUGGCAGUGACUUGUUCGACCUCGACAAGUUUUCUAUUAUGAUUUGUGUAUAGUUUAGGGUUUUGAUUUUGGUUGUCUUCAGUGAGGUGUUUAGCUGGGAUUCAAUUUUGUUGUGUUUCGGAUGUGUAUGGUUGAGUGUGGUUCCAUUUCUAUGCUUCAGAUCUUCUAUUCGACCGAUUGUUAUCGUGAAUGAUAUGAAUCGGUGGAUUUCAUCGGCGCUAGAGUGCGAAGCUGUCUCCUUACUACGGCUCUAUGGCUACCUGAGACUGAAACGUCAUGGCAUCAGUUCUUUUCUUUAGCUUUUAGUGGGCGGCGAUUCUGGUCCUGUCAAGCCCCCCUCAUGGUUAGCGUUCUUUUCUAGUUUGUUGCAUGUCAGUGCUGAGGAGCGGAAAGAGACGGUGGAGGGACAAAUCGGUGGAUUGUUCUAGAACCAUCGUGAACUGGGUUGGGUUAUGAUUGGGCUUUGGGCUAGAACGUGAGCUUUUUUAUUUUUAUUUUUAGGCCAGUUUUAGAUCUAUAAUCAACUGUGUUUUUAAGCUUUUAA